UGCGCUCGAACGAGAAGUCCUUCGGUGGCGAGUAGAGUGGCGCACGGGUGAGUAACACGUAGGUGACCUGCCUUUUAGUGGGGGAUAACUCGGAGAAAUUCGGGCUAAUACCGCAUACGAAGUACAAUUUUGAAAGUAGUACUUGGAAGACUGCCUCUAUACUAUGCAGUUACUAAAAGAUGGGCCUGCGGGACAUUAGCUUGAUGGUGGGGUAACGGCCUACCAUGGCGACGAUGUCUAGCUGGUCUGAGAGGAUGAUCAGCCACACUGGAACUGAGACACGGUCCAGACUCCUACGGGAGGCAGCAGUGGGGAAUAUUGCGCAAUGGACGAAAGUCUGACGCAGCAAUACCGCGUGAGUGAGGAAGGCCUUCGGGUUGUAAAGCUCUGUCAAUGUGGAAAAACGGCAUAGGGUCUAAUAGGCCUUAUGUUUGAUGGUACACAUAAAGGAAGCACCGGCUAACUUCGUGCCAGCAGCCGCGGUAAUACGAAGGGUGCAAGCGUUGUUCGGAUUUAUUGGGCGUAAAGCGCGCGCAGGCGGAUUGAUAAGUCAGAUGUGAAAUCUCGGGGCUCAACCUCGAAACUGCGUCUGAAACUGUUAGUCUAGAGUCUCG
rnacentral:rRNA from 1 species